rnacentral:lncRNA from 1 species
GCUGUUUUCAACAAAGUGGUCAGGGAAGGCCCCCCGGAAAGAGGAAGAAACAGAGGUUCAGAGAGGGCCAGCGGCUCCCCAUCACACAGGAAGCGGCAGAGCUGAGAGAGGAGCCCGGUUUCUGUCCGGCUCCAGCGCCCGCCGGCCUUUGCCCUCUAAGGACCCCACCGCCCAGGUUUGUUCACAGCCCCGUCCAGCCUGGGACAGGACAUGCCGGGCUCGCACGGCACCAGCUCCGUCUUUGGCCGCAGCACACAAUGCAUGACUUCCUGGCUGGUGACAUCCCGGGCUUGAUUCAGUCUCCAGGGCCUUUGCACGGGCUGUUCCUCUGCCUGGACCCCUCGGCCCAUGUGGCUCCUCCCUCAGAUCAAAUGGCAUCCUCUCCGUGAGGUCUCCCUGCCCAUCCUCGUGAAAAGUG